UUAGUAAUUUAUCUUAAUGUGUCAUUAAUAGAUAAACAAUCUAAUUAAUAUAAUAAUAAUACGAAAGGUUAGAAAUUCAACGUUAAUUUUUAAUAAUGAUAAUAAUGGGGGCGUGUUAGAUCAUAGAAGCUGCUGGCGCUUUUCUUCCUGAACUUCAAUAACACGCAGGAAGAUUACGAACUUGUGUUUAACAAUUAAUUUGAAUUGUUAAAAAAAUAAACACAAUUUAAUUUAUUACUUGUGGAGUAAAGCGUGGAUGAUGGAAGACCUCCAGUAAAUCGCACUAAAACGGGCAGUAGAAGGGACCAACCAGCUUCGACUAACACCAAACUUAGAUUUUAAUUUGUACGUGGACAAAGAUUUACAGGAAUUGUCUUCAUGUGGCACUGAUCCUCGUAUGGAAAAAGAAUUGAAGAGUCCAUAGAAAUCUCCAGUGGCUGUAGUAGUUGCAUUCUUUAUAUGUUGGGCUCCGUUUCACGCUCAGAGAUUAAUGGCCAUAUACGUAAAAAAUCCAACUCCAACCGAUGAAAUUGUGUACAUGGUUCUAACCUAUAUC
rnacentral:misc_RNA from 1 species